rnacentral:rRNA from 1 species
AGUUCACUGACAUUAGAUACCCGGUAGUCCUAGCCGUAAACGAUGCGGACUUGGUGUUGGGGUGGCUUUGAGCUGUUUCGGUGCCGUAGGGAAGCUGUUAGGUCUGCUACUUGGGGAGUACGUCCGCAAGGAUGAAACUUAAAGGAAUUGGCGGGGGAGCACCGCUACGGGAGGAGCGUGCGGUUUAAUUGGAUUCAACACCGUAAAACUCACCAGGGAAGACUGUUACAUGAAGGCCGAGAUGAAGACUCUGCUAGAUUUUCAG